rnacentral:rRNA from 1 species
AACGAACGCUGGCGGCAUGCCUAACACAUGCAAGUCGAACGAUCCAUUCGGGGUUAGUGGCGCACGGGUGCGUAAAGGGUGGGAAACUGCCCAUAGGUUCGGAAUAACUCAGAGAAAUACGAGCUAAUACCGGCUAAUGUAUUCGGAACAACGAUUUAUAGCCUUUGGAUGGGCCCGCGUUGGAUUAGCUAGAUGGUGGGGUAAAGGCCUACAAAGGCGACGAUGCAUAGCUGGUUUGAGAGGAUGAUCAGCCACACUGGGACGGGGACACGGCCCAGACACUGACGGAUGGCAGCAGUGGUGAUCAUUGGACGAUGGGCGAAUGCCUAAGCUAUCAGUACCGCGUAGGUGAUGAAGUCGGGAGGAUUGUAAGUCACUUUUACCCUUGAUGAUAAUGACUUACCCGGAGGAAUAAGCCCCGGCUAACUCCGU